UACGGAGGGUGCAAGCGUUAUCCGGAUUUACUGGGUUUAAAGGGUGUGUAGGCGGGUCUUUUAAGUCAGUGGUGAAAUCUCCGAGCUUAACUUGGAAACUGCCAUUGAUACUAUUGAUCUUGAAUUCUGUUGAGGUGGGCGGAAUAAGUCAUGUAGCGGUGAAAUGCAUAGAUAUGACUUAGAACACCAAUUCGAAGGCAGCUCGCUAAACAGAGAUUGACGCUGAGGCACGAAAGCGUGGGGAUCAAACAGGAGUUAGAUGACCCUGUAUCCCUAG
rnacentral:rRNA from 1 species